GCUCACAACUCCAUUCCCCACUUAUCUCAUAUCCCUGCUAGCACAGUGAAAGGGGUGGGGAACGGCUAAGUAUCUGUGACUGAAAUAUUGUGACUGGUCUUGCCAGCUCCGACCUGCGAAUCCGCACUUGGCAAGAAUUUAAUGAUAUAGAACUGUACAAAAGCAAAACACAAUGAUGGAUGUAUUGAAACAUAAUUUGGAGGGAGUUAAAUUUGAAGAAAUUAGAAGCUGAGUUGUUCUGCAGCAAAGAUAAGAGAAAUGGCAUACCACCGGUAGGAAGGAGCAAAGGUAUUUGCCAUGUGUAUUAAUGAUCUCAUUCUUCAUGGCCAAAUUAGAUCUGACAUGGAAUUCUGUGCUUCCAACUUGAUCUAUGAGGGUGGCUGAAUGGCUCCAUAAAACCGUUUUACUGCUAAAAGGGAAAAAGAAAGCAAAGAUUCUGAGGAGAAGGUGGAAUGAAGCAAACAGAUAGCAAUAGGAUGACUUGCCAAGUACACUCUUGACUGAAUAAAAGGAACACAUUUGAUCACUACAGUGGAGCAAGAAUGGCUUUUAAUUGGUUACUAAAAACACAAGUUCCGAUAAUCCACAGCAGAUACUUCGGUGCUGUUGAAGUCUUCAGCUGGUUGUCAAGUGAGAGAGCCAAAGUAAACAUUGAUGAAGAAAGCUGGAAUUACUCAAUACAGCUACAUAAUAUGAAAUAAAUCAAUUAUGCAAAGGCCUUGGCAUCAAUGCUGAGAGCUUCAGGUCCCUUUGGCAGCAAAGCAACUGAAGGUGCUGAACUCAGCAAGCUUCUCAUACUAUCAGGCCUCCAAGUCAUGAGGACAAAGUGAGGAAGACUAAAUCCUGGAUUCUCUAGGUUACAUCCAAAGAAGUUUCUUUCUUUAGAAUGUAAUACCUUCAGCUCAAAAAGCAACUGUACGGAAACCAGCCAUGUUGAAAAUACUAGAUGGAAUUUAUAGAUGCAUGUGCUGUCAUAACUUGGAGAUCACAGCUAGCAAACCUGCAUGGAUCCUUCCCUCAAGGAAUGCAAAUAGGUCAGAAAGUUAAUGCCCAUUAAUUCUGUUACACAGUGCAAAGUUUGUUGUCGAUGAAAUUAGAAACAAAUCUUCUGUAAUGUAUUCCUGGACAGAACAAUUCAAACAGAAGUUUACUUAUCUUUGAAACUAAUGUUGUUGACAGGACACUACCUCAGUGCCAGCAGACACACAACUACACCCAGUAAGUGGUGCCAAUAACAGCUUACCUCCCAGGUCAAAAUAGCAGCUUUGGGGUGGGGUGGGGAUUUUAGUCAGGGCCAUAAUGUGGGAGAUGGGGUUAGAUGGUGCAGUCCUGAUUUUAGUCAGGGCCAUAAUGUGGGAGAUGGGGUUAGAUGGUGCAGUCCUGAUAGCAAACCCCACCCUACUCCCCACCCUUAUUUUUUUGCUGUGUGUUUAACAUAGUGAUUCCCAAUCUUGAGUCCCCAGACAAUGCUGGACUACAAUUCCCAUCAUUUCCUAGCCACAAUGGCUGGCCACUGUGGCUAGGUAUUAUGGGGGUGUAGUACAACAUCAUCUGGGAACCCAUGGUUGGGAAUCACUGAUUGAACAACAUGUGUGUGGUUUUUGGCCCUGGCAUGCACUCCAUUUAGAAACAAAUGUAGCCCACAGAGAAGAAUCUUCCAAAGGCUGCAUUACCAUCUUCCAUCUUGUAACAAAGUUGUGGACAUAAAGUUUUCAUACUUCCUUCUGCUCUAGAUAAAGGUUUUGCAUAGCACAGGGCUGCUCAACUUCAGCCCUCCUGCAGAUGUUGGCCUACAACUCCCAUAAUCCCUGGCUAUUGGCCACUGUGGCUGGGGAUUGUGGGAGUUGUAGUCCAAAAACAGCUGGGGGAGGGCAAAGUUGAGCAGGCCUGGCAUAGCAGUAAAGAACUAGAAUGACUUCUGUGAACUUGCUGAUUUAUUGCUUCUGACAGAGCUGAACUUCAACCAAAGUUGACAACACAUUCAGUAAACUAUAAGGAAACAAAUGUAUUUUCCACUGAUAGGAUAAUUAUAUCCAUACAUUCUUCAGUGGUCAGGGGCAAGCUUAAAUGCACUUUAACUGGGAGAAUGGAUCUUGACCAAACAUACUGCAGAAUGGAUUCAUCUGACUUUUAAGCAAUAUGAGGUGAGAAAUCAAUGUUAUUCUCUUAGGAAGCAUGCUCUUUGACGAUAACUGGGGAAGAGGAAGGGGGAGAGAGAGAGGUAAAAGAAUAUAUUGCAGUUUCAUAUGCCAAAGAUAAUGAAAUUAAUGUUCUACAUCGGCCUCUCCCAGGACACAAUCCUACAAGAUACAGUGAUGUGACAAAAGCCAGCUACCACCUUCAAGCGUGGUGUUCUGAAGUUCAUACUUCCCUUGCGGAAGCAGCCAUUCCCAUUUCUAUUGUUUCUCAGAAACCUGCCCUCCCAUUUCCAAGCUGCAAUUUAAAUCAAUCACAUUUUCACUUGGUAGCUCAGCUUACCUCCUGCUAUUAGAGAUAUUGCUUCAGAAUGUAUGACUCUCAAAGCUUUUUGUUGUUUUGGGUGAAAAUGCCAGUGAGGAGGUUUCAAAAUAAUUAGUCUGAGAACUAGCAGAUGGCACAAAAAAACCAGUUAUGUGCUGCACAAAAGUGUGCAUGGUACUGAUACAACAUGCAAAAUUUGAAGUAUUUCCUAAAACGACACCCAUUUUUUCUAAAAGUGCUCUACUAAAAAAAAAAGCUCACACACACACACACACACACACACGUACACAUUUUGGAAAGUCCCCUUAUUUGCACUCCAUAAUAACCUUUUCCAGAGACAAAUGCAAUGACAAAGCAGCAACACAGACAGACAUUUGGAAACAUGGAAAGUAAAACAAAUAACAUGGACAGUCUUGCUACUAUGCUGCAACCUGACAUUAUGAACUACAGAGUUUUAUUAUUCAUGUUACAAUACAUUUAUGAGACUGUACAAGUAAAUUCAGCAGCCUGGACUCAGAGAAAUGCUGUAGCAGGUUAGCUGCCCAAUUCAGAAUUAUUAUUUCUUUCACCAACAACUUAAAGCUUUUGGGUUUCAUUUCUUCUAAAGAGCUCAUCUGCCUCCGGAGAAGGGAUGCAAUACCGGGUUUCUUAGCAAUUCAUGGGUAAAGUCAUGCAAGAAUAUUGAAAGAAGCAUGCAGAAAUACUGGAAGACAUCAUUUGUCUUUUAUAUGCCAAGUGUGGCCAAGGAGCUAGCAGACAGUUAGGAAUGACCUUGGAGUACAAGUCAAGACAUCUGCAUGUGAAGAAAUAUUAAUAUUUUUAAGGUACAUUAAGUUUGCAGUCCUCUAGAAUGGAAGGUUAGUCAUCUUGAUUGUAACCAUACCAUCAUACUUGCUAUUCUGUAGUGCAGUGUUUAAUCUACUACAUGAUAAAUAUGGGCGUUUUUCAUUAUUUAGCACUAACAAAAAUAGUGCAUAUGAAGUACUGGAACAAAUUGCUUUUUGCAUCUUUCAAAGGACACUUAGACAGCAGUGGAUACCACAGUGUGGGCCAUGCAACCCAGACAUCCACUAUUGUCUUCUCAAUUGUUCACAAUCAAAAACGCUUAACCUUCGUAGUGGAAUACAGCUGAACCAAGAACUCAUUUCUACUCAGAGGCAAACCCACUGACAUCUCCAAGAGGUACAGCCACUGACCAGUCUCGGUUGUUCUAUGGGAGCUUUUACAACAGAUGCAAACUGCAGAUGAACAAUAAAGGAUAGUUCCCAGAUCUGACACAAUGGGAACACUUCACAAGAGAAGCUGCUCUAAUUAAUGCAUUGAUGGAACAUUCAAGCAUUAUUGCUGAUGAUCAGAAAUUAACCCUUCAACACAUCACAUACCACAGUUGUGUGGUUCCCCUCGCCAACAAUCCCACUGUUUAUCUAUCAAUUGUGACAAGUUGAUUGGAUAAUUUGUCUCUUUAAAAAAUAAACCAACCAAUUCUUCAGUGAUUUUUUAAGCACUACUUGCAGCUGAGUUCCACCACCAAGAAAUUAUCCCUGUUAUUAAUAUUUUAUUAAAUAUUAGCAGGAGAUUAACAGAAGCUUUCAUAUUAUCAGAUAGCAGUUCUAACAUCUUCCAAUUUCAUAAGUCCCCUGCUCCCAAUUCCUCUACCCAAUCUCUAGUAGAAUACAAAUUAGCUUCAAGAAGAGCAUUAAUUAAAAGGGAAAUAAAAAGGGGGUUGUGCAUGGGUGAGGCAACAGUAGUAGAUUAACAAUCAGUUAUAGAAUGAUUCUAGAAAAGGCUUCCAAAUGGCAUUAAUUGUUUUGUUUUCUAUCCUUCCUGCAAUACAUGAAGCAUUCUUUAAUGCACGGAUCUAAAAUGCCUCCAACCCAAUUUUCAACUGUAAGUGAAAAUAUAAUUUCCUGAAAUGCAAAAGAAUACAUCUUGCCAAAAGCAGUGGUCUGGCAAUCCAGAAUAUGACUAGUUUGAGGAGCGAGCAGACUAUAGGAACAUAUCCCAAGAUAAGAUAACUAAAUAAAAGCUUUAGUGACAAAAUUAAAUUGAUUUUAUCCUGUCAAUAACACAUUUCCAAAAGGACACAGUAAGGCAUAUCCAAAUUACAGACUAGAGUUGUUUUCUAGCAUUUAUCAGUUUCUAAAAUGCCUAAAUAAUACAAAAUAUAAUUUUUGCCCACAAGCACAAAGAUCAACAGGUAACAAGAUUAAAGAUUUAAAGGUCGCCUUCUAGGGCAAUUAUUUAUUUAUUUCCUGAAUUUAUACCCUGCCCAAACUUACGUCUCUGGGCGGCUAAUGUAACAUUAUGUAAUGUUGGUACUCCAGAUCCUGAACUCAAUUAGCUCUUAAAUCAUCCAUGUCAGGUUUGAAGCCAUCUAAAACACAUUUACACACAAGAGUGCCGCAAACCUUAAAAGAAAGAAUGAUGUCUUUAAGAGACUCUGUACUAUUGGAGGUUCAAAGGCAAUUAGUCCAUCAGGGCCACAUAAUCAUGUUGAAAACUGGCAAAGGAAUAAACCUCAUCACCAGAGCUAAGCAGCUGACACAGCAUUAAAAUUUUACCAAUCAGCCCACUUUCCCCACCUAACCUAAUUACAAAAAUCAGGGGUUUCACACAAGGCAAGGCCUGCAUGCUAACAUGUACUGAAAUGCAACCAAGCCACAGCAGUCAACCAGGCCUUUCUAAUCGCAAUAGCAUAAGAAUACACGCUAGCCCAGUUCAGUAGAAAACUAUGGUUUCCCAUAAGCUUCAGAGAACUACAGGUUUGAUCAUUCUCCCCCUCUUACCUACGAGAAGGGGACAGUGAAAACAUUUACUUUCUACAAGAUCUUUAUUGGAUUUUAAUUUGUUACCAGGCAGAAUUCAAGGUGCUGGCUUUGACCUGUAAAGUCCUGGAUUGACACAGGAACAUAGGAAACUAUCUUACACUGAGUCAGACCAUUGAUCCAUCUAGCUCAAUAUGGUCUACACCGACCGGUAGCUGUUCUCCAAAGUUCCAGGAAGGAGUGUCUCCCAGCCCUACCUGGCGAUGUCUGGGACUGAACCUGGGACCUUCUGUGUGCAAAGCAGAUGCUGUUCCACUGAGCUAUGGCCCCACCACCUAAGGUAGGUAUACAAACAUGUCCAUUGGAUCUUCACUGGAAGCCUCUCCUGGGUGCCCCUUUGAAAUGGCGACUCACAAUUAUGGAAUACUCUUCCUGAUCACAAUUGGUUGGCAUCUGCUUGUUAACUUUUGGACACAAGAUAAAAAAAAGUCUUAUUCGAUUUUAAUUAGAUUAUAUAUUUUCUAACAGUUUUGUUUUUAAUUGUUAUUGAUGUCCACUACAUUGGCAUUGGUUUUACUGCUGUCAUUUUCUUACAGUUGUUUGUGUUAUUUUUGUAUUUUAUAUGUGUUAACCAUAUUAUGGAUUUUCUUAAUUGCCUUGAGGCCCUAGGACAAAAAGGCAGCUUUAUAAGAUACAAUCCAACUAUGUUUCUGCUUUUACUUAUUUUUUACUGAUAUUUUUAACACAUAAAAGAUACACUCUUAGAUAUGGUAGAUUAAAGCCAUUUUAUGGCUCAAGCAACUGCUUUUAUUUAUAUAUAUUCUGGUUAAGGUGUGACAUUAGAUUCUAAGUUGCUAACAAUUUUGUCAAAGUGUUUUUCAACAAUAGCAACCAGCAGUCCUCUUAGAAUAUAGGUAAGCCAGGCAAUGAUAUGGAUUUUGAAUGUGGACUUUUUCAUACAAACUCAUUGUUAAAGAUUAACAGCCUUACAACAUUAUCCUAAUUCCAAUAAAUACUGAAUAGAAGUUGAUUACUAACCCAGUUAUCUAAACCAGAAGCCUUCAGCAGGCCUCACAUGUGUGGAUGAUAUUUUGGAGUUGCUAUUAAUUGAUUUCUUAUUGCCUAUGUAUAGUUUUGCACACAUUUCAGUCUGGGUACAGGUCACAGAAGAGUAAACUAGGAAGACUGACAUAGGGAAUCAUUAUUUACUGAUCACUGGGAGACACCAGAAUACAGAAUUAUUUGGAUUUGUAUAGUCAAUGUGCCAAUAACAUUGCUGGCAACAGCUUAACACAAAAAGCUAUAACUUGAAGGGAGCUUACUUCAGCAAGCUCACUGUACUUAUUUCCAGCCAGACACUUUACACAAUCCACGCAACACUAUUC